GGAAGUGGAGGCCUCCCGCUCCACACAGGAAACAAUCUUCAAGCAGGCCUUAAAUGCCAGAUUCCAGGCCGAGUUUAACUAACCACUGACAGCUCUGUAAACAAAGCAAGGACAAAAAGAGCCCGCUUCCCCUUUUCUGGUAGUCAUUUUGGGUUUGGGGGCUGCAGGGGAAUUCUGGAAUACUUGACUCCAUGGCACAGAAACGCAGGAAAAGCGGAAUCCUCAGUUGAAGAGCUGGAAAGGGAAGAUCUUUCUGGGAUUAAAACUAUCACGGAGGAGAUCCAGAUAUUAUCUGGUCUCCCUAAAUCUGAACCCAUACCAUGGACGAUUUUGAACGUCGCAGAGAACUUAGGAGGCAAAAGCGGGAAGAGAUGCGUCUGGAAGCAGAAAGAAUCGCCUACCAGCGGAACGACGAUGAUGAGGAAGAGGCCGCCCGGGAACGGCGCCGCCGUGCCCGGCAGGAAAGGCUGCGGCAGAAGCAAGAGGAAGAAUCCUUGGGACAGGUGACUGACCAAGUGGAGGUCAAUACCCAGAACAGUGUGCCCGACGAGGAGGUCAAGACGACCACCACAGACACUCAGGUGGAGGCCGACGAUGAGGCUGCACUCCUGGAGCGCCUGGCCCGGCGGGAGGAAAGACGCCAGAAACGCCUCCAGGAAGCACUGGAGCGCCAAAAGGAUUCUGACCCAACAAUAGCAGAUGCAAGUUUGUUGCUACCCAGCAGAAGAAUGCAAAACAACACAGCAGAAAAUGAAAUGGCAGAGAAGGAAGAAAAAAGCGAAAGUCGCCGGGAGAGAUACGAGAUAGAGGAAACAGAAACAGUCACCAAGUCCCACCAGAAGAAUGAUUGGAUGGAUGCUGAAGAGAAAAAGGAAGAAGAAAAAGAAAAGGAGGAAGAAGAGGAAGAGGAGAAGCCAAAGCAAGGGAGCAUUGAAGAAAAUCAGGUAGAGGUGGUGGCAGAAGAGAAAGCAGCAGAAACCCAGGAGGAAACAGUAAUGUCAUUGAAAAAUGGGCAGAUCGGUACAGAUGAGCCUAAGACAGAAGAGGAGAGGGAAAAAGGCUCACAUGAGAUUCCCCAUAAUGAAAAGAUGGAACAGGAAGCAAGGGAAAGAGCUGAGGCAGAAAGGGCCAGGUUGGAAGCAGAAGAAAGAGAGAGAAUUAAAAUCGAGCAAGAACAAAAAAUAGCAGAGGAGAAAGCGAGAAAGGAAGCAGAAGAAAAAGCAGCUGCACAAGAGAGAGAAAGACAGGAGGCAAAGGAGAGGGAAAGGAUUAAGGAGGAGGAGAGAAGGGCAGCAGAGGAGAGGCAGAGGGCAAAGGAGAGGGAAAGGAUUAAGGAGGAGGAGAGAAGGGCAGCAGAGGAGAGGCAGAGGGCAAAGGCAGAGGAAGAAGAGAGAGCUAAGAUAGAAGAGCAAAAACGUAAGAAGCAACUAGAAGAGAAAAAAAGGGAAAUGCAAGAGAAAAAGAUAAAAGGGGAAAAGGUAGAGGAGAAAACAGAAGGGAAGUGGGUCAAUGAAAAGAAAGUACAAGAAGAUAAACUUCAGACAGCUGUCCAAAAGAAACAGGAAGAAGAAAGGGGGGCUAAAAUGCAAGCUAAAAGAGGAAAGUCCCAAGAAGACAAGCCUACCUUCAAAAAAGAAGAGAUCAAAGAUGAGAAGACUAAAAGGGACAAAGAAAGCAAAGAAGUUAAGAGCUUCUUGGAUGGAAAGAAGGGAUUUACAGAAAUGAAGUCGCAGAAUGGAGAAUUCAUGACCCACAAACUUAAACACACUGAGAAUACUUUCAGCCGCCCUGGAGGGAGGGCCAGCGAGGCCAAGGAGGCUGAAGGUGCUUCCCAAGUGGAAGCCGGCAAGCGGCUGGAGGAGCUGCGCCGCCGCCGCGGGGAAACUGAAAGCGAGGAGUUCGAGAAGCUCAAGCAGAAGCAGCAGGAGGCGGCCUUGGAGCUGGAGGAGCUGAAGAAGAAGAGGGAGGAGCGAAGGAAGGUCCUGGAGGAGGAGGGGCAGAGGAGGAAGCAGGAGGAAGCCGAGCGGAGAGUCAGAGAGGAGGAAGAGAAGAGGAGGCUAAAGGAAGAGAUUGAAAGGCGAAGGGCAGAAGCUGCUGAGAAACGCCAAAAGAUGCCAGAAGAUGGCUUAUCAGAUGACAAGAAGCCCUUCAAGUGUUUCACUCCUAAAGGUUCAUCUCUCAAGAUAGAAGAGCGAGCAGAAUUUUUGAAUAAAUCUGUGCAGAAAAGCAGUGGUGUUAAACCAACUCAUCAAGCAGCAGUAGUCUCCAAGAUUGACAGCAGACUGGAGCAAUACACCAGUGCAAUUGAGGGAACAAAAACUGCAAAACCUACGAAGCCAGCAGCCUCGGACCUUCCUGUUCCUGCCGAAGGUGUCCGCAACAUCAAGAGCAUGUGGGAGAAAGGCAAUGUGUUCUCAUCACCCACUGCAUCAGGCACGCCAAAUAAGGAAACAGCUGGCUUAAAGGUGGGGGUCUCCAGCCGCAUCAAUGAAUGGCUUACCAAAACCCCAGAUGGAAACAAGUCACCUGCUCCCAAACCUUCUCUGAAUUUUCUUCUUCAUUCUUUGAUCUCUGGUUGACUGGAAACCUGCUUCCCUGCCUUCAUUUCUCCCUCUUCUUCUGGAGUGGGUCUUUCUCUAAAAUGUAGGCUGGUCAGGAUUUGAGGCCAGGAGACGUAUCUGGCAAGCGGAACCUCUGGGAAAAGCAAUCUGUGGACAAGGUCACUUCCCCCACUAAGCAGGUCUGAGACAGUUCAAGAAAGAACCCAAAGUAGCCGCUCAAGAUGCCGGACCAGCUCAGUUGAAGAGGGCUCAUUUGCUCUGUGUUAUAUUUAUGUUGAUUUACUAAAUUGGGUUCAUUUCCUUUUGUUUUGUUUUUCAUUAUCCCAGUAAACCCAUGUAUAUUAUCACUAUAUUUAAUAAUCACGGUCUAGAGAUGUUCAUGGUAAAAGUAUUGCCUUUGCACAGGAGCCUGUUUCUAAAGAAACCCAUGCUGUGAAAUAGAGACUUUUCUACUGAUCAUCAUAACUCUGUGUCUGAACAGUGAUAGUAACCACAUCGGAAGUCAACAAAAGGAGAUUCAAGUUGAAAAUUGCCUGAGGAAUGUGUGCAGUAUCCAGAAAAAUGAACCAUAGUGUUUUUUUUUGUUUUUUUGUUUUUUAAAUACAGAAAUCAUGUUGUUUCUGCACUUUAGAAUAAAGCAUGGAAGAAAUUAUCUUAGUAGGCAAUUAUAACACUUUGUGAAAGUCACCCACUUCAGAUUUUAGAUACUACAAUAAUGAUUGUCUUUAAAAAAAAAAAAGAUGUACUGUUAAGGUAUUACUUUUUUCAUGCUGAUGAAUAUCUAAAUUGGAUUUUGAUGUUAGCUGACAGUGGUACUGAUUUCUUUAGGUUGGUUGCUUUGUGGAUUUCUUUGGUAGUGAUAGUGAACCACAUUUUAGAUGACGUGAUCAUGUAUGUAUGUGCAUACACAUAUACAAACACACUAAUGGUAGAAAGCUUUUUUAUGUGCUAGGCUAUUAUAUUUAGCAGUAUGUCCCUGUAACUAGCCAAUAUCACUGCUUUUUAAAAAUUAAAAAUCACAAUAUUAUAUUAAUAUUUCAUAUUUGCCAAUAGAAACAUGGCAGAAUAGGUAUCGAUAUGUUUCCAAUGCCCAAUAACCUAUAAGAAAGAGAUUAGAAAUGUCAAAAUGAAUUGACAUUUUCUAUAAAGCAUAGUAUUUAGUUUAUAAUUAAAAGCAGUCUUGAAGUCCAGUGUGAAUUGUACUAAAUCUCAAAGCUUGCUCCAAACUUCAUUCUUAAGAAUCAAGUUCACAAUCGGUUGGCUUAGACGAUGUCUGAGGUCUCUUCCUUCUCUAAAAUUUAAACACGAGAAUUUUAGUGACAAAGUUGUACAGAUUGGAAUUCCAUGAAUAGGUGUACUACGACCAACUUUGGGUAAUCUCUGGAAGCAGAAAAGUAAGCAAAAGCCAAUAUUUAGGAGUCAUGACAGUACUUCCAUUUUUAACUUACCGAAACAUCUUUUUAGUUUACUUUUCUACCUUUAUUAGUCAUUGGCACUUGCCAUAAGUUGAUAAUGUGUUGAACUUUCAAAAAAUAUAUGUAAUUUUUAUUAGUUUUACCUUUUUCCCUAAGAGUCUAUCAACUCGUCAUUUGUACACACCCAAUCCAGGUAUCAGAUCUUAUUUUAGCUAAUAAGCGUUCAUCUAUUCUUCACAAUAGAUGAUAAAAGAGUACUCCAGUGUCUUGGCAAUAUGUUCUAGCAUAGAGAUAUACAUAUAGUGUAGUUCUAUAAACGUAUACCUCAUGACUUACCAAAAUUGUCUUAGUCUCAAUUCCUACACAACGAGGGAGCCUCCCAAAUGACUCUUUUCUAAUCCACAGUGUUCCCCUGGGAGAGCUAGCCAGGGUAGGGCUGGCAUGAGGAGUGACCAGUGCCUUCCAAAGUCCAUUUUCCUCAUAAAUCAGUAGAGUUGUUGAAUCCUCUAGCUUUUAGCACAUCUGGGCCAAAGAAAGUAAAGCCAGCAAUAUUGCAUAAGUCACCCAUCCAUGACAGAGUAGACAUGAGUCUAUGAUAAGAUGAACUAGAAUUCACAUGCAGUGCCUGAGUUGGCAUUGCCUCCCAGCAUUCGAGUGAAAUGGAUCAAAGUUUGAAUUAAGUCCUAUGGCAAGAUAACAUUUCUUUGUUGUACUUUUGAAUAAGAGCCUCUCCUGAUCACUAUUAUAUGUUUUUUUCUAGAAAGUCUAAAUUUAAGAAGAGAAUAUAUCGAUCGAUCCUGACUUUUAUUCCAAUAUUUGGAUGGAAUAAGUUUUAGGGUAGAAUUUUGUUCGGUUUGGAUUUAAUUUCUUGAAAAAUUCCUUGUUUACUUGUUUGAUUACAAUUCUCUCUGUUAUCUUUUUAAGAAGUAAAACUGCAAGGUGACUAGCAUGUUCUGUGAAUCUGCCAUUCCUAAAAAUUUUAUAAACACGAUAUUUUUCACUGAUAAUUGAUCGCUGCAAUAAAUAUAUAUUGUGAAAAUGCAUCCACAAUAAAUGGAAUUCCUCCAAAUGUCUUUGCCUCACUUAUUUUUAUGUACUAUAUUGAUUACAAGAGUUCUAUCUGAUGUAAUAAAGAUGAUGGUAUAGCAAAAUGCAUAUUUCA